CUUCCUCCGCCUGCUGCGGGCAGAUCAAGUGGAUGUGUGUGUCAAUACCACCAGCGGUAAUAAUCUUGUUCUCUCCAGCAAUGACAUCGGUACACGAGCCCACCACCAGAUCAGGAUGCACGCCGUCCAUGACAUCUGGGUUUCCAGCCUUGCCAAUACCAGCAAUAAGCCCAUCCUUGAUACCAAUAUCAGCCUUGUAGAUACCAGUCCAAUCGAUAAUCAGCGCAUUCGUGAUAACGGUGUCGAGACACUCGCUCUGAGACAGACCAGACGCCUGCCCCAUUCCCUCGCGCAG
rfam:Penicillium coprophilum strain IBT 31321 PENCOP_contig007, whole genome shotgun sequence.